rnacentral:rRNA from 1 species
GAUGAACGCUGGCGGCGUGCCUAAUACAUGCAAGUCGAGCGAACAGAUAAGGAGCUUGCUCCUUUGACGUUAGCGGCGGACGGGUGAGUAACACGAGGAGAACCUCCUUAUAAGUCUGGGAUAACUUCGGGAAAACGGAGCUAAUACCGCAUAACAUAUUGAACCGCACGGUUCAUUAGUGAAAGGCGGCUUUGCUGUCACUUAUAGAUGGACUCGCGCCGUAUUAGCUAGUUGGUAGGGUAAUGGCUUACCAAGGCAACGAUGCGUAGCCGACCUGAGAGGGUGAUCGGCCACACUGGAGCUGAGGCGCGGUCCAGACGCCUACGGGAGGCAGCAGUAGGGAGUCUUCCGCAAUGGGCGGAAGCCGGACGGAGCAACGCCGCGGGGGGGAUGAAGGUCUUCGGAUCGUAGAACUCUGCUAUCGGGGAAGAAGCAGUGUGUAAGUAACUGUGCACAUCUUGACGGUACCUGAAUAGAAAGCCACGGCUAACUACGUG